CCCCCUCAAGAUGAGAUUUCCCAAUUAGUAAGACCCCUUGAAGACGACGAGGUAGAUAGGUUGGAGGUGGAAGUGCAGUAAUGCAUGGAGCUGACCAAUACUAAUCGGUCGAGGGCUUAUCCUAUA
rnacentral:rRNA from 1 species